rnacentral:rRNA from 1 species
CUUUUGAUUAAGAAUUUAAGGUCUAAUCUGCCCACUGAUUAGUUUAAUGGCCGCAGUAAUUUGACUGUGCAAAGGUAGCAUAAUCAUUAGUUUUUUAAUUAGAAGCUUGAAUGAAUGAUUGGACGAAAUAAAAUCUGUCUUUAUAUAAAUAGUUGAAUUUAAUUUUUAAGUUAAAAAGCUUAAAUAUUUAUAAAAGACGAGAAGACCCUAUAGAUCUUUAUAUAAUUAUGUUUAUUUUUAAUUAGGAUUAUUUAAAUAAUUGGAUAUAAUUAUAUUUUAUUGGGGCAAUAGAAAGAUUUAAAAAAUUCUUUAGAUAAUUUACAAUAAUUUUUGAGUAAGUGAUCCUUUUAUAAAGAUUUAAGAUUAAGUUACCUUAGGGAUAACAGCGUAAUUUUUUUUAAGAGUUCUUAUCGAUAAAAAAGUUUGCGACCUCGAUGUUGGAUUAAAAAUUUGUUUUAGGUGUAGUAGUUUAAAGUUUUGGUCUGUUCGACCAUUAAAUUUUUACAUGAUCUGAGUUCAGACCGGUGUAAGCCAGGUCGGUUUCUAUCUUUAUUAAAUUAAAAUAUUUUAGUACGAAAGGACCAAAUAUUUAAUAUAGUUAUAUUUUUAUUUUGAAUAUUA